rnacentral:rRNA from 1 species
UACGUAGGGGGCAAGCGUUGUCCGGAAUCAUUGGGCGUAAAGAGCGCGUAGGCGGCCCUGUAAGUCCGCUGUGAAAGUCAGGGGCUCAACCCUUGAAUGCCGGUGGAUACUGCAGGGCUAGAGUCCGGAAGAGGCGAGUGGAAUUCCUGGUGUAGCGGUGAAAUGCGCAGAUAUCAGGAGGAACACCGAUGGCGAAGGCAGCUCGCUGGGCCGGUACUGACGCUGAGGAGCGAAAGCGUGGGGAGCAAACAGG